rnacentral:rRNA from 1 species
AGUGAACGCUGGCGGUAGGCCUAACACAUGCAAGCCGAACGGCAGCACAGUAAGAGCUUGCUCUUACGGGUGUCGAGUGGCGGACGGGUGAGGAAUACAUCGGAAUCUACUUUUUCGUGGGGGAUAACGUAGGGAAACUUACGCUAAUACCGCAUACGACCUACGGGUGAAAGCAGGGGAUCUUCGGACCUUGCGCGAUUGAAUGAGCCGAUGUCGGAUUAGCUAGUUGGCGGGGUAAAGGCCCACCAAGGCGACGAUCCGUAGCUGGUCUGAGAGGAUGAUCAGCCACACUGGAACUGAGACACGGUACAGACUCCUACGGGAGGAAGCAGUGGGGAAUAUUGGGCAAUGGGCGCAAGCCUGAUCCAGCCAUACCGCGUGGGUGAAGAAGGACUUCGGGUUGUAAAGCCCUUUUGUUGGGAAAGAAAAGAAGCAGGUUAAUACCCCGCGGUUCUGACGGUACCCAAAGAAUAAGCACCGGCUAACUUCGUG